CUUUAAGGACAGUGCAACAGAAAAAUACCGCCGCACUAUGCGGUAAGGAUGGAAAGGCGAGGUAAGAGCUCACCCGCAAUUUGGCGACAAUGCGCGAUGUAAACCCCACCCGAUGCAAGAUUGGAGCAUAACGUGUAGCCCGCACGCUCCGCACAUCGCUUGAACGGCGCAGAAAUGCGUCGUCUAGAUAGAUGACCGUCCAAUACAGGACUCGGCUUACAGACUAAUCUCGCAU
rnacentral:RNase_P_RNA from 1 species